UUCGCCCUUAGAGUUUGAUCCUGGCUCAGGAUGAACGCUGGCGGCGCGCCUAACACAUGCAAGUCGAACGGCACCCCUCUCCGGAGGGAAGCGAGUGGCGAACGGCUGAGUAACACGUGGAGAACCUGCCCCCUCCCCCGGGAUAGCCGCCCGAAAGGACGGGUAAUACCGGAUACCCCGGGGUGCCGCAUGGCACCCCGGCUAAAGCCCCGACGGGAGGGGAUGGCUCCGCGGCCCAUCAGGUAGACGGCGGGGUGACGGCCCACCGUGCCGACAACGGGUAGCCGGGUUGAGAGACCGACCGGCCAGAUUGGGACUGAGACACGGCCCAGACUCCUACGGGAGGCAGCAGUGGGGAAUCUUGCGCAAUGGGGGGAACCCUGACGCAGCGACGCCGCGUGCGGGACGGAGGCCUUCGGGUCGUAAACCGCUUUCAGCAGGGAAGAGAAGAGACUGUACCUGCAGAAGAAGCCCCGGCUAACUACGUGCCAGCAGCCGCGGUAAUACGUAGGGGGCGAGCGUUAUCCGGAUUCAUUGGGCGUAAAGCGCGCGUAGGCGGCCCGGCAGGCCGGGGGUCGAAGCGGGGGGCUCAACCCCCCGAAGCCCCCGGAACCUCCGCGGCUUGGGUCCGGUAGGGGAGGGUGGAACACCCGGUGUAGCGGUGGAAUGCGCAGAUAUCGGGUGGAACACCGGUGGCGAAGGCGGCCCUCUGGGCCGAGACCGACGCUGAGGCGCGAAAGCUGGGGGAGCGAACAGGAUUAGAUACCCUGGUAGUCCCAGCCGUAAACGAUGGACGCUAGGUGUGGGGGGGCGAUCCCCCCGUGCCGCAGCCAACGCAUUAAGCGUCCCGCCUGGGGAGUACGGCCGCAAGGCUAAAACUC
rnacentral:rRNA from 1 species